rnacentral:rRNA from 1 species
AUGGGGGGACCAUCCUCCAAGGCUAAAUACUCCUGACUGACCGAUAGUGAACCAGUACCGUGAGGGAAAGGCGAAAAGAACCCCGGCGAGGGGAGUGAAAAAGAACCUGAAACCGUGUACGUACAAGCAGUGGGAGCACGCUUCGGCGUGUGACUGCGUACCUUUUGUAUAAUGGGUCAGCGACUUAUAUUCUGUAGCAAGGUUAACCGAAUAGGGGAGCCGAAGGGAAACCGAGUCUUAACUGGGCGUUAAGUUGCAGGGUAUAGACCCGAAACCCGGUGAUCUAGCCAUGGGCAGGUUGAAGGUUGGGUAACACUAACUGGAGGACCGAACCGACUAAUGUUGAAAAAUUAGCGGAUGACUUGUGGCUGGGGGUGAAAGGCCAAUCAAACCGGGAGAUAGCUGGUUCUCCCCGAAAGCUAUUUAGGUAGCGCCUCGUGAAUUCAUCUCCGGGGGUAGAGCACUGUUUCGGCAAGGGGGUCAUCCCGACUUACCAACCCGAUGCAAACUGCGAAUACCGGAGAAUGUUAUCACGGGAGACACACGGCGGGUGCUAACGUCCGUCGUGAAGAGGGAAACAACCCAGACCGCCAGCUAAGGUCCCAAAGUCAUGGUUAAGUGGGAAACGAUGUGGGAAGGCCCAGACAGCCAGGAUGUUGGCUUAGAAGCAGCCAUCAUUUAAAGAAAGCGUAAUAGCUCACUGGUCGAGUCGGCCUGCGCGGAAGAUGUAACGGGGCUAAACCAUG